rnacentral:rRNA from 1 species
UGGGGAAUUUUCCGCAAUGGGCGAAAGCCUGACGGAGCAACGCCGCGUGAGGGAGGAAGGCUUUUGGGUUGUAAACCUCUUUUCUCAAGGAAGAUAAUGACGGUACUUGAGGAAUCAGCAUCGGCUAACUCCGUGCCAGCAGCCGCGGUAAUACGGAGGGUGCAAGCGUUAUCCGGAUUUACUGGGUUUAAAGGGUGCGUAGGCGGCUUUUUAAGUCAGUGGUGAAAGCCUAGACACUUAAUGUCAGAAGUGCCAUUGAUACUGAAGAGCUUGAGUCGAGGAGAGGUAAGCAGAAUUUGUGGUGUAGCAGUGAAAUGCUUAGAUACCAUGAGGAAUACCAACAGCGAAAGCAGCUUACUGGCCUUGUACUGACGCUGAGGCACGAAAGCGUGGGGAGCAAACAGGAUUAGAUACCCGCGUAGUCC